rnacentral:rRNA from 1 species
GAUUCAACAUGGAACGAGUGGCGGACGGGUGAGUAACACGUGGGUAACCUGCCCUUAAGUGGGGGAUAACAUUUGGAAACAGAUGCUAAUACCGCAUAGAUCCAAGAACCGCAKGGUUCUUGGCUGAAAGAUGGCGUAAGCUAUCGCUUUUGGAUGGACCCGCGGCGUAUUAGCUAGUUGGUGAGGUAAUGGCUCACCAAGGCGAUGAUACGUAGCCGAACUGAGAGGUUGAUCGGCCACAUUGGGACUGAGACACGGCCCAAACUCCUACGGGAGGCAGCAGUAGGGAAUCUUCCACAAUGGACGCAAGUCUGAUGGAGCAACGCCGCGUGAGUGAAGAAGGCUUUCGGGUCGUAAAACUCUGUUGUUGGAGAAGAAUGGUCGGCAGAGUAACUGUUGYCGGCGUGACGGUAUCCAACCAGAAAGCCACGGCUAACUACGUGCCAGCAGCCGCGGUAAUACGUAGGUGGCAAGCGUUAUCCGGAUUUAUUGGGCGUAAAGCGAGCGCAGGCGGUUUUUUAAGUCUGAUGUGAAAGCCCUCGGCUUAACCGAGGAAGCGCAUCGGAAACUGGGAAACUUGAGUGCAGAAGAGGACAGUGGAACUCCAUGUGUAGCGGUGAAAUGCGUAGAUAUAUGGAAGAACACCAGUGGCGAAGGCGGCUGUCUGGUCUGUAACUGACGCUGAGGCUCGAAAGCAUGGGUAGCGAACAGGAUUAGAUACCCUGGUAGUCCAUGCCGUAAACGAUGAAUGCUAGGUGUUGGAGGGUUUCCGCCCUUCAGUGCCGCAGCUAACGCAUUAAGCAUUCCGCCUGGGGAGUACGACCGCAAGGUUGAAACUCAAAGGAAUUGACGGGGGCCCGCACAAGCGGUGGAGCAUGUGGUUUAAUUCGAAGCAACGCGAAGAACCUUACCAGGUCUUGACAUCUUUUGAUCACCUGAGAGAUCAGGUUUCCCCUUCGGGGGCAAAAUGACAGGUGGUGCAUGGUUGUCGUCAGCUCGUGUCGUGAGAUGUUGGGUUAAGUCCCGCAACGAGCGCAACC